rnacentral:misc_RNA from 1 species
GAUGAAGAACGUAGCGAAAUGCGAUAAGUAAUGUGAAUUGCAGAAUUCAGUGAAUCAUCGAAUCUUUGAACGCACAUUGCGCCCGCCAGUAUUCUGGCGGGCAUGCCUGUUCGAGCGUCAUUACAACCCUCAGGCCCCCGGGCCUGGCGUUGGGGAUCGGCGGAAGCCCCCUGCGGGCACAACGCCGUCCCCCAAAUACAGUGGCGGUCCCGCCGCAGCUUCCAUUGCGUAGUAGCUAACACCUCGCAACUGGAGAGCGGCGCGGCCACGCCGUAUAACACCCAACUUCUGAAUGUUGACCUCGAAUCAGGUAGGAAUACCCGCUGAACUUAAGCAUAUCAAUAAGCGGAGGA